GAGCCCAGUGGCUUGGCAGCCUGCCUUCUAGAGGUAGAAGGAAGAGCUCGUUUCAAAAUUCCGGAAUGCUUUAAAAAAAAAUCAUGUCUUGUGACCUAUUCCUGUCCUCAAUGGACAGAAGAGAAUUGCAGGAUUGCCAGCUGCCAGAUCAAGGCUAUGUUUUCACUCGUCAGAAAUGUGCCAUGUGCUUCUUAGACCCUGUACUGAGAUGACAGAAAGUGUCCUGGAACUCAUUUGGAAGAAAUCAGGAAAUAAUUAUUUUACUUUUUCUUACCAAAAAGUGUGUCUAUUUAGGGAUAGAAUUAUUAAACUUUCAACAUGUAUUCAUUUUGCAUAUUAAUAAAAGUGUGUUCAAGACACAUAAGCAAAAA